rnacentral:hammerhead_ribozyme from 1 species
AUCCAUCUGACGAGUCUUAAACAGGACGAAAUGCGCGUACUGGAU